GGGAGGGGUUCGGGCGCGGGAGCUGGGGAGGAGAAGACGGAAGUGGAACGAGGACAAAAUGGCUGCGAAGCCACAAAGUCAUAUUGUGGAACUUGGAAUUCAUUCAAGAUUGUCUACAAUAAAACACCUGCUUUCUGCUUUCUGAAACCCCAACAGUGGUGUAAAGAUGGAGUCUGGAUCUAUUGCUCAGGCUGGAGUACA